AAGUCCUUUAAGAGCAGUCCCGUGAGGCUGAAAAGGUGACGGAUUAUACACGGCAUUCGUGUGUACACAAACCCCUUUUCUGCCUUUCCGCGGAAAAGGGGUUUUUUGCAU
rfam:Halobacillus halophilus DSM 2266 complete genome